GGCUGUAUGGUGUAAUGGUUAGCACUUUGAAUUUGAAUCCGAGUUCAAAUCUCGGUAGAACCU
rnacentral:tRNA from 1 species